rnacentral:rRNA from 1 species
UACGGAGGGUGCAAGCGUUGUUCGGAAUCAUUGGGCGUAAAGCGCGUGUAGGCGGCUAUCUAAGUCUGAUGUGAAAGCCCGGGGCUUAACCCCGGAAGUGCAUUGGAUACUGGAUGGCUAGAGGACGAGAGAGGGAAGUGGAAUUCCUGGUGUAGGGGUGAAAUCCGUAGAUAUCAGGAGGAACAUCGGAGGCGAAGGCGGCUUCCUGGCUCGUUUCUGACGCUGAGACGCGAAAGCGCGGGGAGCAAACAGG